rnacentral:lncRNA from 1 species
GCUUAAUAUGGUGCAAGGCAUGCAGGAGAUGCCCAGUUAAUGUUGACUGAUGGAAAUUAUAAAGCGCUAAAGGAGCAUGACACCAUUCACGAGCAUUCGUUAAGCACCAGCAAUGUGGUCUCUGAACUCAAAGCACUCAUACUACAGUACAGCAAAUACGAAAAAGAUUCAAGCUGUGUGAGGAAGGCAAGGUAGCCUGCAGUCUCAUCGCUCACAGUUCAUGAGGAAGGGAAUAGGGCAGAUGACGUUCUCAAGAUUCAAAGCCAGUGGUGGGUCCAGAAUUUCAACCCAUGCCUUCUGCCCCCAGAGCCCAUGGUGACUUAGCCAGUGCUGCCUCUCUCAGAGACUAUAGAAAUCCUGUGAAAUCUGGCAGAGGCCGAAAGAGAUGGUGGAAAGAAGAGAAGCAGUAAAGCGAAUGUCUCGCUCCCAUGUAUUUGGAGAUUAGUUACAAUUGUGUGAACAAGUUGCUGAGCAAUAAGGAAGAAAGAGUAAUUCUUCUCUCACAAAGGAAUGCUGAGCCAUCCCAGCUCAUUUAUUUAUUAAACACACACUUAAAUAAUGUUUAUUGAAUGCCAGAACAAAGAAGAUACAUUAAACACACCUCGGAUACAUUUUCAUCAAAAUUUCAGAGAUAUUCAGUUGCAAAUGAGCAGGUGAACAUGACCGUGAUGUCAGCUUGGAUAAUCAAGACAACCAUUUUUUAAAUUUCUCCUCAUCCAUGCAUUCCCCAACCAGUCCACCCAGAAUUCCAUCCUCACCACUUCACUGAAACAGCUCUCAGUUGCCCAAGCCAAUGGACAUGUUUCAGAUCCUGAGAAUACAAGACAAACGAUCAGCACUAAGCUUGAAGAACUUGUCAACUCCUGGGAAAGAGACGCAGAGGAAAGCUGCAUUCUCUCUGCCAUGGUGGAGCGAUACUGGGAAUAUGUGGCCCCUCUUGCUGUUAGAGCUGUCACAGCAUUGAUAGCCUGGGCUGAUGUGGCUGACCAGACUCAGGCUAAGUUCUGAGAUGCUUGGCUGGAAAAGAGAGAAGGGAUUGAACUGACCCUCAGAAAGUCACUGUGGAGCCAAGAGACCACACAGGAGACUGGCAGCAGGCAGAUGCCGAGGAAGGUGCCAUGGGGCAGCAGAACGGCUCACAGGACAGAGAAGUGGGACAGAUGGCGGAGCCUGAAAGAUGAC